rnacentral:rRNA from 1 species
CGUAGGGUGCAAGCGUUAAUCGGAAUUACUGGGCGUAAGGCGUGCGCAGGCGGUUUGGUAAGACAGAUGUGAAAUCCCCGGGCUUAACCUGGGAAUUGCAUUUGUGACUGCCCGGCUAGAGUUUGGCAGAGGGGGUAGAAUUCCACGUGUAGCAGUGAAAUGCGUAGAUAUGUGGAGGAAUACCGAUGGCGAAGGCAGCCCCCUGGGUCAAGACUGACGCUCAUGCACGAAAGCGUGGGGAGCAAACAGGAUUAGAUACCCUGGUAGUCCACGCCCUAAACGAUGUCUACUAGUUGUCGGGUCUUAAUUGACUUGGUAACGCAGCUAACGCGUGAAGUAGACCGCCUGGGGAGUACGGUCGCAAGAUUA